ensembl:lncRNA
AUUGCUCUCUACAGCUAACUGAAGGGGGGUUGUGGUGAGGUGGAAAUCGACCUCUUCUCCCAUUGAAUCCUCUGGCACUACUGUUUGAUGAAAGGUUAGAAGGUACCAAUAGCACCAGUGACAGACCCAGUUAACCUCGGAGAAUACAUCUAGGAGUUGAACACCAUGAUGCUUCUACGCAGGAGCAGCAUUGUUUUUACAAGCUCUGGUCCUCGUGGGAGACUUUCACUACCCAAUAAGUGAUGGAGGAGCAACACAGCAAGGCAUAUUCAGAGUUUUCGUGGACUAUGUUGGUGAUAACUUCCUUCUCCAAGUGAUAUAGAAGCCAAUGAGGAGAGGUUCUGUGCUGGACCGUUUUUUUCACCAGUGUGGAGGAACUGGUGAGGAACGUACUGCUCAAGGGCAACUUUGCCAGUGCUGACUAUGAAAUGGCAGUAUUCAAGAUUCUUAAAGCAGCAAAGAACCCACACAGCGUUCUCACUACUCCAUACUAUGACAGAACAGACUUUGGCAUCUUCAAGAAUCUCUUUGGUAGAGCGCUGUGUGACAAAGCCCUAGAAGGAAGAGAAGACCAAGAAAGCUGGCUGAUAUUUAAGGAUCACUCCCCCCCACAUCCCUACCCCCCUCCAUCCAAGCCAAGAGGAAAUCAGGCAAAAAUGCCAGAAGGCCUGCAUGGACAAAUAUGGAACUUCUGGCCAAAAUCAAAUGAGAAAAGGAAAGCUACAGAGUUUGGAAACAAGAACAGAUAAUGUGGCAAGAACAGAGACAUUAUCUGAACAGUCAAGAAUGAGGUCGGGAAAGCUGAAGUAUUUAAGGAGGUCAUUGAAAGUUAUCCUCCACUUGGAGUAUUGCAUUCAACUUUGAGGUGCACAGCACAAGAAAGACUUUGAUCUGUUAGAGAAGGUCCAGAGGGAGAUCACAAAGAUCAAAAAGAAAUAAAAACAUUUAUUUUUGUAGCUGUGAUUUGAAAAUGUGUACGUUUUGAAAAUGUCUGACAGGAAAUGUAUAUUUUUUUAAAGCAUAUCAUCCAGAUACAAAAGAUAAUCAAAUCUGAAGACCAACAGAAAUCAAAAUAAAUCAAUCAAUUCAAUUUUAUAUGAACAUUUGCCUAGAAAAUUUUCCAAUUUACUCUAAUAAAUUCAUGUGAUUUGGUAUGAGCUCCACCUAAUCUCUACAUUAGUUCAUAAACAUUUCAUUUUUGCUAGACAAUGUGGUCUCUGUUAGUUUUGAGUAAAAUUCAAACAGUUCUCAAAGUGAUUUAAUUUAGGAUGCCCCUGUUAUCUAAGUAGAAUCACCUGCGACAGUGAAAUGCAAGUAUUGUUCUCCUGAGUAAAACUACUUUGUAAGGCUGCCAGAAUGCCGCCUGUUUCCUGCCAAGAUAACAGACAGCUUGCUCUUUCUAUUUUUCAUGGGACUAAAAAAUACUCUGGAUACAAUCGAGUUCUGAAAGAGUGUUAAUCAAAAUAAUGGAACUGAAAAGGCAUCAAAUGUUUGUACUCCUAUUUAUUUCCAAAUUAAAACAAACAAAAAAAUUACCUGGCAAAACACAAGAUCAAAGUACAUUCUGAAAUUUUUACUUUUCACAUUUUAGUUUUGAAUAAUAUCCCACAGAACUUUUAGCAGCUGUCAUGGUUUUGUGAUUUUUGGUUAUCAGUAUUCCACAUCACAACAUCAUGCAGUGUACUGGGACUUAAAGAGCAAAUGCUUUAGUACCGGGUACCUGUCUGGAAGAGAAGAACUACUGUCCCCAAGAGCCUUUUCAAGUACUGUUAUCAUUCCUGCUCAAGGGAACAGAUAUAAGGGCGCAGGUCAUCUGACUCGCCCCUCUUCUCGUCUCACCGUGUUCCCUGUCAGAUCGGCUCGCUACUGCUGCUCGCGACUGCACGCAAGGCUUCAGUAUUAGCGUAAGGCCUUUGGCUCUCGGACAAUCUUUCUCUCAAUUAUUGUUGAUUUAUAUUGUAUUAUAGUGUGUUACCUUACAUUCCGAUACUGUAUUUAGUAAAUUAGUUUGUUUCUCC